rnacentral:lncRNA from 1 species
CCAUCUACUUAGCUAACCAGCAAGUUUGUCCUUGCAAGGCAUGUGGGGUCAAGAACAACUUUCACCAGGAAAGAGUGCAAGACGAGUGGUUGAACAAAAUAAAAUUGUAUGUGUGUUCUAAGGAAC